rnacentral:rRNA from 1 species
AUUGAACGCUGGCGGCAUGCCUUACACAUGCAAGUCGAACGGCAGCACGGGUGCUUGCACCUGGUGGCGAGUGGCGAACGGGUGAGUAAUACAUCGGAACGUACCUUAUCGUGGGGGAUAACGCAGCGAAAGUUACGCUAAUACCGCAUACGACCUGAGGGUGAAAGCAGGGGAUCGCAAGACCUUGCGUUAUACGAGCGGCCGAUGUCAGAUUAGCUAGUUGGUGAGGUAAAGGCUCACCAAGGCGACGAUCUGUAGCGGGUCUGAGAGGAUGAUCCGGCACACUGGGACUGAGACACGGCCCAGACUCCUACGGGAGGCAGCAGUGGGGAAUUUGGGACAAUGGGGGCAACCCUGAUCCAGCCAUGCCGCGUGAGUGAAGAAGGCCUUCGGGUUGUAAAGCUCUUUCGGCCGGGAAGAAAUCGCACGGGCUAAUACCCUGUGUGGAUGACGGUACCGGAAUAAGAAGCACCGGCUAACUACGUGCCAGCAGCCGCGGUAA